rnacentral:miRNA from 1 species
GCCUAUAGCUUUUUGUGUG